AUGAACGCUGGCGGCGUGCCUAAUCCCUGCAAGUCGAGCGAACGGACGAGAAGCUUGCUUCUCUGAUGUUAGCGGCGGACGGGUGAGUAACACGUGGAUAACCUACCUAUAAGACUGGGAUAACUUCGGGAAACCGGAGCUAAUACCGGAUAAUAUUUUGAACCGCAUGGUUCAAAAGUGAAAGACGGUCUUGCUGCCACUUAUAGAUGGAUCCGCGCUGCAUUAGCUAGUUGGUAAGGUAACGGCUUACCAAGGCAACGAUGCAUAGCCGACCUGAGAGGGUGAUCGGCCACACUGGAACUGAGACACGGUCCAGACUCCUACGGGAGGCAGCAGUAGGGAAUCUUCCGCAAUGGGCGAAAGCCUGACGGAGCAACGCCGCGUGAGUGAUGAAGGUCUUCGGAUCGUAAAACUCUGUUAUUAGGGAAGAACAUAUGUGUAAGUAACUGUGCACAUCUUGACGGUACCUAAUCAGAAAGCCACGGCUAACUACGUG
rnacentral:rRNA from 1 species